rnacentral:rRNA from 1 species
UACGGAGGUUGCGAGCGUUGUUCGGAAUAACUGGGCGUAAAGGGAGCGCAGGCGGUUGGGUAAGUCUAAAGUGAAAGCCCGGGGCUCAACUCCGGAAGUGCUUUGGAUACUACCUUACUCGAGUUCGUGAGAGGAAAGCGGAAUUCCAGGUGUAGCGGUGAAAUGCGUAGAUAUCUGGAGGAACACCGGUGGCGAAAGCGGCUUUCUGGCACGAUACUGACGCUGAGGCUCGAAAGCGUGGGGAGCAAACAGGAUUAGAUACCCUGGUAGUCCACGCUGUAAACGUUGUGCACUAGGUGUGGGAGGUAUCGACCCCUUCCGUGCCGCAGCUAACGCACUAAGUGCACCGCCUGGGGAGUACGGUCGCAAGACUGAA